rnacentral:lncRNA from 13 species
GUCACCAUUUUAAUUCUCUCCGGAUAUAUAAUAAAAGUACGACAAAAGAUAAUAAUAAAUAAAUUUACAUAAAUACCUUUCUUUUCAACAUGAUGGUAACGCAUAUUCUUUAUAAGUAAGCGUUAGAUUUUACGACACGGUAAUGCACUCGUUGAAAUGAAUUCGAAAUGCAUGAGGAAGCAUAUUCGUUUAUGCUGCCUUACGUUAAACAUUUUCGCGGACGGUAAAUAGUUUGAAGCGCGUCAUAACGCUGGGCAUCGGCUUACCUCACGGAGUACGGCGCGCGGUAGUGUAAACAAGGUCAGCGCGCUGCCAUUCGGUCGUUGAUACUCGAGCCGUAAGGUGCGUAGCUGCGCGUGCCGUCUCGCCGCGCGCCUCGCAGCGUCAUUAUCUUUCGGAACGUAGUUGCGACAAGUGCUGGGAGAUGCGAACGGAUAAUUCCUUACGGAAUAACGCGCCAUUAUCAGUUCGCGCGAUACAUUUCGACGUCCCGCGCAAAUCCCGCGAACACGAGACGCGUGUUGUUAGACGACCAUCGAUAUAUCGCGACUUCCCUCAAGUGCCUAACUUCAAGUGCCACCUGAGCCGGUCGACUGGGCGGUUCACGCGUUAAUUCACUCUCGCAAUCCGAAGCAAAUCCAUGUGAUUUACUUGUCACGCGUUCGAUAUUUCGUGACGUACAGCGAGUGUCGUUACUUUGGCUUUGUGUGUAGGUAAAAUUGUCGUUGAUUCGUCGUUAGUUCGCGAAGAAAAAGGCUCGAACCGGCUUCGUUUUUUUGUGGCUCGACAUCGAACUCUCUCGAAGCAUGGUCGCGACGUACGCUACGAGAUGCUAAAUACGGCUGCUCCGUAUUGCAAGCGGGUAACUGUUUGCGAGUUACUUGUAAUAUGUUAAAUAUUUCAUAGAGGCCUGGCACAGAGCGCUCGGUACACGCUGUAUUUACGCGAUGACCUUGUUUACAGUCGCGCGGCGGCGAGGCUCAAGCCGGCAGGCAGCACGGCGACGCGAUUGUAGUCGCAGUUACGGUUUCUCGGAAACGUGUGGUCGCGACGGGAGUAUUAGGAAAGAACACACGAUACUUUCGGAUUGCGAAAGCGACUGAUCGCGAAUCGUUUGCUCCCGUAAAGUGAUUCAAGUAAGACAUCGAUGGUUGAAACGUCGCCGGGAUUGUCGCGGCGGAUAGCAGAGGUUAGGUUAUACUUUUUCUUCGUCUUCAUACGCAGCGCGUUGUGUUUAUCGUGCUUGUAACGUUACUCGUUUCGGGCAGUCCCCAUCGUGUCCGUUGCUGUCAGUGCGCGAUUCGUGAGUUUUGCGUUUUCUCGAGUGAUUAGUGAGUGCCAUGAAUGGACUACGAGCGAUAGUGAAAUCUGAGAGGAGGCGGAAGCUCGGGGAAACAUCGGGCGACGGCGGAGCAACCAUAGAUUCAACGUGACUGGCGUUACAACUCCGCUGCUGCGCAUCGUAACUGUGAGUGAUUAUUUUUUAUUUUAACCUUCUGCGGUCCAACUGGGGAUUUGAAGACGCGAGCGAAUUUUCGAUUUUGAAUUAUUCUGCCUCAAACUCGAACACGUACCAAAAAAAA